CGUGAGCAACCUACCGAACUGGUGGGGGAGUAGCCGGCCUAACGGCCGAGUAAUACCGCAUACGCCCUCAGAGAGGCAUUUCAUUGAGAGGAAACCUACGGGACAGAUCGAGGGGCUCGCGGCCUAUCAGCUAGUUGGCGAGGUAACGGCUCACCAAGGCAACGACGGGUAGCUGGUCUGAGAGGAUGGCCAGCCACAUUGGGACUGAGAUACGGCCCAG
rnacentral:rRNA from 1 species